UACGUAGGGUGCAAGCGUUAAUCGGAAUACUGGGCGUAAAGCGUGCGCAGGCGGUGAUGUAAGACAGAUGUGAAAUCCCCGGGCUCAACCUGGGAACUGCAUUUGUGACUGCAUCGCGUGGAGUGCGGCAGAGGGGUGGAAUUCCGCGUGUAGCAGUGAAAUGCGUAGAUAUGCGGAGGAACACCGAUGGCGGAAGGCAA
rnacentral:rRNA from 1 species